rnacentral:rRNA from 1 species
GCAAGUCGAGGGGUAACAGGAGUGCUUGCACUCGCUGACGACCGGCGCACGGGUGCGUAACGCGUAUAGAACCUACCUUUUACUGAGGGAUAGCCUUUAGAAAUGAAGAUUAAUACCUCAUGGUAUUGUAAAUCGGCAUCGGUUUAUAAUUAAAGAUUUAUCGGUAAAAGAUGGCUAUGCGUCCUAUUAGCUAGAUGGUAAGGUAACGGCUUACCAUGGCAACGAUAGGUAGGGGCCCUGAGAGGGGGAUC